AUUGAACGCUGGCGGCAUGCCUUACACAUGCAAGUCGAACGGCAGCGGACCUUCGGGUGCCGGCGAGUGGCGAACGGGUGAGUAAUGCAUCGGAACGUACCUUUCAGUGGGGGAUAACGUAGCGAAAGUUACGCUAAUACCGCAUAUUCUGUGAGCAGGAAAGCAGGGGAUCGCAAGACCUUGCGCUGAUUGAGCGGCCGAUGUCAGAUUAGCUAGUUGGUGAGGUAAAGGCUCACCAAGGCGACGAUCUGUAGCGGGUCUGAGAGGAUGAUCCGCCACACUGGAACUGAGACACGGUCCAGACUCCUACGGGAGGCAGCAGUGGGGAAUUUGGACAAUGGGGGCAACCCUGAUCCAGCCAUGCCGCGUGAGCGAAGAAGGCCUUCGGGUUGUAAAGCUCUUUCGGCCGGGAAGAAAUCGCACGGGCUAAUACCCUGUGUGGAUGACGGUACCGGAAUAAGAAGCACCGGCUAACUACAUGCCAGCCGCCGCCGUAACAC
rnacentral:rRNA from 1 species